GAGUCUUACAAUAUACAAUAAACAAGUAACUAAAUCUAGAAAAAAAUAUGGCCAAAGCAAAAAAUUCAGUUGUUUUCUCCAUCAUCUUCCUUAUAAUGUUUGCUUUAGCCGAAGAUUGUAUGGGAUGUCAGGCGAUGCUUGGUGAUUGCCGUAUAUGCGGAAUAAAAUGCAGUUCUUACGGAAGACAUGCAGAGGCUCACUGUGAUUACCGCUAUGACGGUGGUGCUUGUGUUUGCGACUUUCCUUGUAAUCCUCCACCAAAGCUUUAAAAUAAAAAAAUAUUGGUAAUUAAUAUGAAGAAAUAAUAUGGUGAAUCGCAUAAUCAUAGUUGCUGCAAUAUUUCAUAUAUUAAAUAAAAAUUCCGUGAACCUUUGAUAUCAA